rnacentral:rRNA from 1 species
AACGAACGCUGGCGGCAGGCUUAAUACAUGCAAGUCGAGCGGGCACUUCGGUGUCAGCGGCGCACGGGUGCGUAACGCGUGGGAACAUGCCUUUAGGUACGGAACAACCAAGGGAAACUUUGGCUAAUACCGUAUAAUAUCUCUGGAUCAAAGAUUUAUCGCCUAAAGAUUGGCCCGCGUUAGAUUAGGUAGUUGGUGGGGUAAUGGCCUACCAAGCCGACGAUCUAUAGGGGGUCUGAGAGGAUGAUCCCCCACACUGGAACUGAGACACGGUCCAGACUCCUACGGGAGGCAGCAGUAAGGAAUAUUGGACAAUGGGCGAAAGCCUGAUCCAGCCAUGCCGCGUGAGUGAUGAAGGCCUUAGGGUUGUAAAGCUCUUUUGGAUGGGAAGAUAAUGACUGUACCAUCAGAAUAAGCCCCGGCUAAAUUCGUG